GCGUGAUCACGCGCCGCCGCCCACCGUCACAACGAGCACCGUUUUCACGGCCUCACCAAAUCCAGCGGUGACUAACUGAUUUCUUCGGAAUGCCACACUCCGUCGUUCUUUUCCGCGCCGCACUUCAUCAUCCCUACUUUUUUAACCCUCUCUUCAUCCUUCUUCUCAAUCAAUUUAGGUAUGAAUCGGGCGGUUGUUGCAGCCGGAAAGAGGAAGAGAGCUAGUGAACCACCUCUAACAAGAGAUGUGCAGCAGAUCCUUCAUUUGAUCCUUAGCAAACAGGGCUCCGGCAUUAAAAUUUUACCUUGACUGGUCGAACGCGGCUGAUUUUGAGUCGGAGUUCGUACAUGAGGGUUUUGAGGCGGCAUGGGUUGCGGCGGCGGGUGUUGAGUCGGCCGAGGGUUUGCAUUUGGAUGUAAUUGUUUAAAUAUAUUAUGUUUCUUUUA